rnacentral:rRNA from 1 species
CACGUAGGCGGCUUUGUAAGUCAGAGGUGAAAGCCUGGAGCUCAACUCCAGAACUGCCUUUGAGACUGCAUCGCUUGAAUCCGGGAGAGGUGAGUGGAAUUCCGAGUGUAGAGGUGAAAUUCGUAGAUAUUCGGAAGAACACCAGUGGCGAAGGCGGCUCACUGGACCGGUAUUGACGCUGAGGUGCGAAAGCGUGGGGAGCAAACA